rnacentral:rRNA from 1 species
GAUGAACGCUAGCUAUAGGCUUAACACAUGCAAGUCGAGGGGAAACGAUAGAGAAAGCUUGCUUUUUCUAGGCGUCGACCGGCGCACGGGUGAGUAACGCGUAUCCAACCUGCCCACCACUUGGGGAUAACCUUGCGAAAGUAAGACUAAUACCCAAUGAUAUCUCUAGAAGACAUCUGAAAGAGAUUAAAGAUUUAUCGGUGAUGGAUGGGGAUGCGUCUGAUUAGCUUGUUGGCGGGGUAACGGCCCACCAAGGCGACGAUCAGUAGGGGUUCUGAGAGGAAGGUCCCCCACAUUGGAACUGAGACACGGUCCGAACUCCUACGGGAGGCAGCAGUGAGGAAUAUUGGUCAAUGGGCGAGAGCCUGAACCAGCCAAGUAGCGUGCAGGAUGACGGCCCUAUGGGUUGUAAACUGCUUUUAUAAGGGAAUAAAGUGAGUCUCGUGAGACUUUUUGCAUGUACCUUAUGAAUAAGGACCGGCUAAUUCCGUGCCAGCCGCCGCCGUAA